GUUUGAUCCUGGCUCAGGACGAANGCUGGCGGCGUGCCUAAUACAUGCAAGUCGAGCGCAGGAAAUCGACGGAACCUUCGGGGGGAAGUCGACGGAAUGAGCGGCGGACGGGUGAGUAACACGUAAAGAACCUGCCCUCAGGUCUGGGAUAACCACGAGAAAUCGGGGCUAAUACCGGAUGGGUCAUCGGACCGCAUGGUCCGAGGAUGAAAGGCGCUUNGGCGUCGCCUGGGGAUGGCUUUGCGGUGCAUUAGCUAGUUGGUGGGGUAAUGGCCCACCAAGGCGACGAUGCAUAGCCGACCUGAGAGGGUGAUCGGCCACACUGGGACUGAGACACGGCCCAGACUCCUACGGGGCGCAGCAGA
rnacentral:rRNA from 1 species